rnacentral:rRNA from 1 species
CCCUUAGAUGUUCUGGGCUGCACGCGCGCUACACUGACGCACGCAACAGGUGCCUGCUCCGAGAGGACUGGGUAAUCAUUUGAGUGUGCGUCGUGAUGGGGAUAGAAUAUUGUAAUUAUUACUCUUCAACGAGGAAUUCCUAGUAAGCGCAAGUCAGCAGCUUGCGCUGAUUACGUCCCUGCCCUUUGUACACACCGCCCGUCGCUCCUACCGAUGGGUGAUCCGGUGAAUGAUUCGGACUUCAGCGGCUCCUCUGGGGUGCGCCGGAGAAAGUUUUGUGAACCUUGUCACUUGGAGGAAGGAGAAGUCGUAACA